rnacentral:rRNA from 1 species
UACGUAGGGGGCAAGCGUUGUCCGGAAUCAUUGGGCGUAAAGAGCUCGUAGGCGGCUUGGCAAGUCGGAUGUGAAAACUCCAGGCUCAACCUGGAGCCGCCAUUCGAUACUGCUAUGGCUAGAGUCCGGUAGGGGAGUGUGGAAUUCCCGGUGUAGCGGUGAAAUGCGCAGAUAUCGGGAGGAACACCGAUGGCGAAGGCAGCACUCUGGGCCGGUACUGACGCUGAGGAGCGAAAGCGUGGGGAGCGAACAGG